ACCUCCCCUUUCAGGAGCUGGUCUCCAGCACUGACCCAGGAAGCUUAAAUUGCAUCAGUCCUCUCCUCAGCCUCAGGGCCUCACCCUCCCUGCCCUGAUGGCUGGUCCAGGAGUCAACAUCUCCCAAGGCCGGUGAAUGCAGGGUAGGGUCCCGGCCACAGCAAUCGUUCUCAAGGGUAGGCAUGUGGCCAGUAACCAAGGAGCCACGCGUUUCUGAGUGACAGCAGCUCUCCCUUCUUCCUCUGGACGGUGUGUUACGGGGAGAUGGAACCAAAAACUACAACAGCACUUGGUCACCACAAAGGAAGCCAGACUGAGACUCACACCGACCACUCGGAAAGGGUACAUCAGAAGACUGCAGAGUGAGACUCACACCGACCACUCGGAAAGGGCAAACCAGAAGACUGCAGAGUGAGACUCACACUGACCACUCAGCAAGGGUACAUCAGAAGACUGCAGACUGAGACUCACACCGACCACUCGGAAAGGGUACAUCAGAAGACUGCAGACUGAGACUCACACCGACCACUCGGAAAGGGUAAACCAGAAGACUGCAGGGUGAGACUCACACCGACCACUCGGAAAGGGUACAUCAGAAGACUGCAGACUGAGACUCACACCGACCACUCGGAAAGGGCAAAUCAGAAGACUGCAGAGUGAGACUCACACCGACCACUCGGAAAGGGUACAUCAGAAGACUGCAGACUGAGACUCACACCGACCACUCGGAAAGGGUCCAUCCGAAGACUGCAGACUGAGACUCACACCGACCACUCGGAGAGGGUACAUCAGAAGACUGCAGACUGAGACUCACACCGACCACUCGGAAAGGGUACAUCAGAAGACUGCAGACUGAGACUCACACCGACCACUCGGAGAGGGUACAUCAGAAGACUGCAGACUGAGACUCACACCGACCACUCGGAAAGGGCAAAUCAGAAGACUGCAGAGUGAGACUCACACCGACCACUCGGAAAGGGUACAUCAGAAGACUGCAGACUGAGACUCACACCGACCACUCGGAAAGGGUACAUCAGAAGACUGCAGACUGAGACUCAGACCGACCACUCGGAGAGGGUACAUCAGAAGACUGCAGACUGAGACUCACA
rnacentral:lncRNA from 10 species